GCCGCGCCAACAUGGGCUUCGUCCCUCCCACCGAAUCUCUUGUCGCUGCUCUUCGUUCCAUCGUUUCUUUCGUCCCUCUCCGCAUUUGAGUCUAGGGUUCCGCUCUCCUUGGCCAGGCCGCCGCCUAUGACCAUCGUGCUCACUCUCCCUGCUCUCGCACUGCUCAGCUGAUGCCCUCACACCUCUCCCCUCCGCCUUCACUCCCCUCCGUAUCGUUGGGAACUUGCCCACCAAAGUCCAAGUGGAGGAGGCGCCGCCAUGACCCAGUCCUCCCCUCCCUAUCCGCGAUGACGGAGAGCUCGCAUAGAGGACAACGGCAGGGCGCCCACAUCGUGUGAACCUAGCGUUGCUGAAGACGGCCGGCGUCCAUGCUCCAGAACUAGGCAGGGAGGCCUCGAUCUCGGUCUGCAGGUGCAUGGAUCCGAGAGGCCCCAUAUGGAUUGUUCAUUUGAUUUUUUUUCAGUUAAAACAAUCCGAUUUGUUUCUGUUGUUUUCCGAGAGUUUCUUGUUCAUAUUGCUUCAGCCUGAUUUCUAACGUCAAUUCUAUUGGUAGCAUUGGUGGCCCAGACGGAAGUAGUAAGCACGAGGGACAGCCGGCCGAAGGACCUGCAGACUUUGUGGUUCACUUGGACAAUCAUACAUUUCAGCAGGCACAACAGGAUGAAGCACUACUAGGAUGUAUUUGUUGUUGGCGUGUUCUUAGUUUUCCCAAGGGGAAUAACGUGGAUCAUUUAUCAAUUUACUUGGCACUCAGCCAACCUCCGAUAUGGUUGGAGCCAAUCUUCAUGGCAGUUGUUUGCCGAAUCCGAAUACACGUUUAGUUCUGGAGGAGAGCACAGGAUAUGGGGGCAGCGUAGCAGGGGUCAUGAACAAUGACAGCUGAUUCUGUCUGGUUGUGUUGAGGUCAACAACUCAACGUCACUUACAUUUGUGCUAUUUUCAUGAUGAAGGGGAAAAUGAGUGGUACUUAUGCUAUGGUCGUAAUUGAAUUGCACAUAACUCAGUUCAGUGAUUGGGCGAAUCCGUUAGCUGCUGAAGAUUCUUAUAUUUCCAACAGAAGGCUGUAAUCAAGCACCAGGAAAAAGAUCCUCAAAUUCUGAUUAUUUGAUUUCCUAUUCAAGACUAUUGCUUCCUUGCUCUAAUAUGUGAUUGCACCUGAAAUGACAUUCACGUUCUGCUUCCUGGUUAGCUCUUGGUCAACGUUACACCUGAAAUGACAUCAAGCUUUCCUUCAGUUCAUGAAAUUAGAUACUGGGGUAUUUGAAGAUGUGUCUAUGAUUCUGAGCAUGGGGCCUUUCACUCACCAGGAUUGCUUCAUGACACAAAGGCACCAUCAGAACAAUAGAUGUCCAGUGGAUGACGGCGGAUCGAGGCAUCAGGCACUUGGAGAUGCCGGUGUGAAUAAGAGCCUACAGGUCUGGAUCAAUCUCGCCUCCAAGGACAAGAGCGAGCCAAUGUAUAAGGAACUGUAGAGCAAGGACCUAAGCCAGGCCUCGAAGGAUGGCGUCGACGUCCGCACAUUGUCAUUGAGACCUCUGGGGUGUGGUGUAGGGAGAGCGUGUCGACAACGCAGGGAUAAAAUGUUGCUUCAGGUGGUUUUCAACAUAGGGCAAAAUGAAAUUCUCAGGGGGACGAGGGCCGCCACUCUUGAAGCCACCGCGGAAAGAACAGAGAGGGGAUGCCUCCCCAAUUCACUCCACAUCCAGCAGAUCCACGCUGGGUAGAGAGAGGGGCGGGCGGAGGGAUAGUGUGGAAGGCUCCCCAGGCUGAGGUAGAGGUGGUGCCUGGAGGCGCAUGACGCUUCCUUGAUGCCCUCCACAGGUCAGCAGGAAGGACAUGCCACUGGUUCGACCACAACUGGAAGAAGAUAGAGGAGCAUGUCCGCACAAAGACUACGGUACAGGUAAUUCCGAAUUCAGAUUCGAUCAACACACAUGCAUGUAGUCAUGCUCAGAAGUACUUUCUUAAGGUGCGGAAUCUAGGUGUCGCCGCUGGGGCUGCCGCACCCAAGUCAUGCUCAGAAGUACCUCAAUGUUUGUAUGACACAAACACCGGUAAGAGUAACACAUGUACAACAUUCAAAAUCUACUAACUUGUCUAGCAAAAAAAUACAUUUAAGUUGCCUCCGCAAAUGCGAGAGCUGAUCAUAACUUUAUGGGUACAUCUUAUUUGGUUACUUUUUGUGUUAUUUUUUAAGAAUUUUAUGUAUGUAAGUGUGCCAGACUUGCUGAUGCAUGUGCUUUCAGUUUUAUAGUGGAAGAAAGUAACUGUUUGAUCGAAGCUAUCUUAUGAAGCUCCUGCCUACCCUACAAAAUGAGUAGUUGCAAUAAAAUGCCACUUGUGGGAGGAAAGAUACGAGAAAUAAUGAUAGGUUUUAGAGCAAAUGGUUGUAUGCAUUGGAGGAAAUUUUUAUAAUGUAAUUUUGUACACCUAUGCUACUCAUAUAAUAUUUUUUUAUUAAGAAUAUCUACCAAUGUAUAAAAAAACAGAGGCACUAUACUUUAUUCUUC